ACCACAGUGGUCUAGCGGUCAGAAUGCUGGGCUUGUAAUCCUGGGGUCCCAGGUUCGAUUCCUGGUGGUU
rnacentral:tRNA from 1 species